rnacentral:tRNA from 1 species
GGUAAAAUGGCCGACAAGGGCGCUAGGCUGUAAACCUAGCAAUAGGGGUCUGAGUCCCCUUUUUGCCA